rnacentral:rRNA from 1 species
UACAGAGGAUGCAAGCGUUAUCCGGAAUGAUUGGGCGUAAAGCGUCUGUAGGUGGCUUUUUAAGUCCGCCGUCAAAUCCCAGGGCUCAACUCUGGACAGGCGGUGGAAACUACCAAGCUGGAGUACGGUAGGGGCAGAGGGAAUUUCCGGUGUAGCGGUGAAAUGCGCAGAUAUCAGGAGGAACACCAAUGGCGAAGGCAGCACUCUGGGACGUGACUGACGCUGAGACGCGAAAGCGUGGGGAGCAAACAGG